rnacentral:tRNA from 1 species
GCUCCCCUAGUCUAAAGGUAGGGCGUUGGACUUCUACGCUCGAUUGUGGCAUCCAAAGAUUGCGGGUUCGACCCCCGCGGGGAGUG